rnacentral:rRNA from 1 species
GAUGAACGCUAGCUACAGGCUUAACACAUGCAAGUCGAGGGGAAACGGCAUCGAAAGCUUGCUUUUGAUGGGCGUCGACCGGCGCACGGGUGAGUAACGCGUAUCCAACCUGCCCAUCACUUGGGAAUAACCUUGCGAAAGUAAGACUAAUGCCCAAUGACAUCCCACGAAGGCAUCCGAAUGGGAUUAAAGAUUUAUCGGUGAUGGAUGGGGAUGCGUCUGAUUAGCUUGUUGGCGGGGUGACGGCCUACCAAGGCAACGAUCAGUAGGGGUUCUGAGAGGAAGGUCCCCCACAUUGGAACUGAGACACGGUCCAAACUCCUACGGGAGGCAGCAGUGAGGAAUAUUGGUCAAUGGGCGAGAGCCUGAACCAGCCAAGUAGCGUGCAGGAGGACGGCCCUAUGGGUUGUAAACUGCUUUUAUAAGGGAAUAAAGUGGGUCACGUGUGACUUUUUGCAUGUACCUUAUGAAUAAGGACCGGCUAAUUCCGUG